GAGUUUGAUCCUGGCUCAGGAUGAACGCUAGCUACAGGCUUAACACGUGCAAGUCGAGGGGCAGCAUUAUCUUAGCUUGCUAAGAUAGAUGGCGACCGGCGCACGGGUGAGUAACACGUAUCCAACCUUCCGGUUACUCGGGGAUAGGCUUUCGAAAGAAAGAUUAAUACCCGAUGUUGCGUAUCUUUCUCCUGAAAGAUACGCCAAAGGAUUCCGGUAACCGAUGGGGAUGCGUUCCAUUAGGCAGUUGGCGGGGUAACGGCCCACCAAACCUUCGAUGGAUAGGGGUUCUGAGAGGAAGGUCCCCCACAUUGGAACUGAGACACGGUCCAAACUCCUACGGGAGGCAGCAGUGAGGAAUAUUGGUCAAUGGACGGAAGUCUGAACCAGCUAAGUAGCGUGAAGGAUGACUGCCCUCUGGGUUGUAAACUUCUUUUAUACGGGAAUAACAUGAGGUACGCGUACCUUAUUGCAUGUACCGUUAUGAAUAAGCAU
rnacentral:rRNA from 1 species